rnacentral:misc_RNA from 1 species
GAUGAAGAACGUAGCGAAAUGCGAUACUUGGUGUGAAUUGCAGAAUCCCGUGAACCAUCGAGUCUUUGAACGCAAGUUGCGCCCGAAGCCAUUAGGCCGAGGGCACGCCUGCCUGGGCGUCACACGUCGUUGCCCCCCCAUCUACUCCUUCGGGAUUGCGGGGGGCGGAUGAUGGCCUCCCGUGCGCCUCGUCGCGCGGUUGGCAUAAAUACCAAGUCCUCGGCGACGCACGCCACGACAAUCGGUGGUUGCGAAACCUCGGUUGCCCGUCGUGUGCGGUCGUCGCGCAUCGAGGGCUCGAAAAAAUUGCCGGGCUCCGGCUCGGCUUUCAACGCGACCCCAGGUCAGGCGGGUUUACCCGCUGAAUUUAAGCAUAUCAAUAAGCGGAGGA